GAACGCUAGCGACAGGCUUAACACAUGCAAGUCGAACGGCAGCACGGGUNCUUGCACCUGGUGGCGAGUGGCGAACGGGUGAGUAAUAUAUCCGGAACGUACCUUAUCGUGGGGAUAACGCAGCGAAGCUGCGCUAAUACCGGCAUACGCCCUGAGGGGAAAGCGGGGACCGUAAGGCCUCGCGCGAUUAGAGCGGCCGAUAUCUGAUUAGCUUGUUGGUGGGGUAAAAGCCCACCAAGGCGACGAUCAGUAGCUGGUCUGAGAGGACGAUCAGCCACACUGGGACUGAGACACGGCCCAGACUCCUACGGGAGGCAGCAGUGGGGAAUUUUGGACAAUGGGGGCAACCCUGAUCCAGCAAUGCCGCGUGAGUGAAGAAGGCCUUCGGGUUGUAAAGCUCUUUUGUCAGGGAAGAAACAGCAGCUCUAACACAGUCUGCGAAUGACGGUACCUGAAGAAUAAGCACCGGCUAACUACGUG
rnacentral:rRNA from 1 species